GGCAGAGUUGCGGGGGUGGGGGACAGCACCCUGCCUGUCUGUCUCUUUCCUGGGCCCCGGGGCAUUCAGGGGAGAGGGCAACGUGGCAGUGGCCAUUGGCAGGGGGUGGUAGGGAGGUACCCUUGCAGCCGGGCAUCCUGUGUGGGCAGCCAGCAGCAGUUACUCACCAGGUAAGCAGCUCGCUGGGCAUCGGGGAAUUCCCCAAGACUAGUGACCCAGAAACUGAGUCCUCCGGGCAACCCCCACUGCCCGGGCCAGCCCCCCUCCUCCCUUCCCAUAUCUCUUCCCUGUCCCCAGCUCAGAUCUCAGUUCUCUGAAACCCAGCAGCUGCUGUCACCAUCAGCGCACGCCCCGCUCCUCGCCUUGACGCUCCCACCUGGGAAAUGAGCACAGGGCAGUCAGAUGGGCCCAGGGGAGGAAGUUGGGGGUCAGAGGGAGUGACCCGGGACCAGGGCUGGUGAGGGGCAGCCAAAGGAGACAGGAGAAGCCCAGGAAUUCCUGGCACAGCCCUGGCAGUUGGGUUUCCUGUCCCCAAAGGCAAAAGUAUCUCGUUAUUUGGCACUUGAGAAAGGAGGACGUAUUAGUAACUACACCUGCGGGGCCGCCCGCCUCCACCGUCCACAGGCUCUCGCAUAAGCUCUCGUGUACUUUCCUGUGGCUUCUGGCUCAGUUUUGCAAGUCACCUUGGGCCCUCCGGGGCCCCGGGUGGUUCUGGUACCCAUGGUAAGGGUGUGGCUUAGAGCCAGGCAAGCUUGUAUUUGAACCCUGUCCAUGCUGCAGGUCACUGUGUGACCUGAGGCGACUGCCUUUCUCUGAGUCUCCCUCCGUUCCCCCCUGGGAGUGGGAAUGCUGUAAUACCGGGCUCAUGGGUCGGUCAGGGGGAUGUUAAGUGGGAAACACACGGCGCCUGCCACGUGGCAGCUUUUCUCACCAGAGCUCCGCAGUGGACACAGGAGGGGCUCAAACCCCAGCCUGAGUCAGGGGCUUGGAUUGUGCUUGGGUUCGGGGAUCAGUGUACCACCUGCGGUCUGAGAGUUAAGCCAAGGAGGGCUCGUGGGACCUCUCAGUACACAGAGCGUGGCGUGGAUGCUUGGGGGAACAGGCAACCUCCCAGAGCCUCCGCGGGGGGACAGGAAUACUUCCCGCCUUGGGGAUAAGCGGUACUUCCCUUCCAGCUGUCUUUGGGGCACUUGAGGUCCAGUGCCAGGGCCUCUAGUCUGCUCUUCUCACCCUCAUCCCAUCAAAUCUCGGUCAGGGGCCAGCCACAUACCCUCGGGAGCCGAGCAGGAGCUAGAAACCACCCUGGUCUCCUGCCAACUGCCCCUAGCAUCACCCUGACAUUUCCUGACUGGUUCUGCGUCAGGAAUCACCCCCCUGGAGGUGAAUCAGAGUGACUGCAUUUUUUUUUUUCCUUUAAUUCUGAUAGAAAUUGCAAGGGAAGCAGCAGCCCACAGAGCUCUGAUCAUCAGUGGGGUCAGAGCCUUGCCUCCGGGGUCCAUGCCAAGUUGCACGGGGCCUAACUGAACUUGGGGCCCUGUCCUCCUUGCCUCCAUCUAGAGAAUGGGUGUCUCUCCUCCCAGAUUGUUCUUGCAUCAGCCCUUCAUGGACGUGGUAUGCUAGCCUCUGCAAGCACUUUGGCCUCCCCCGGGUUCUCCCUGAGUUUCAAACUAGCUUGAGACCAUCACAGGCAGAGAGAAAGAGCAGUAUUUUCCCACUGUAGAUCUCUGCCUCUUAGUAGAUGACGGAUUAAAUCUACGGAGUUGGCGCCAGCACUUUCAAAAGAAAAUGGAAUAGCGAAAUCUCUGGGCAUGCCCAGAGCAAGGGCAAGCACUGCUCUGUGAAACUUCUUUUUUCCGUUGCCUGUAUGUGUCAUCGUGUGCAUCACCUCUGGCUGUAAGGUGCAAUGUGUUUCUAACUGUGGGUCGCAGUCAAAAAACGUUUGCAAGCCGCUGGUAUCGAUGAUGAAAGCCAGGCCCUGAGGGGCUGAGGAGAGACUUGCCCGUGGUCACUAGGCAGCUGGCAGCAUGGGGCCCCGGACUUAGUCCUCUGCAGCAGUCCCUUGAGGACCAGGAGUGGCAGGAGGUGCCACAGCUUCCCAGCAGCCUGGUCCGAGGAAAGACCACCCCCAGCAGCACCACCACGCUUGAACAGGGCCACAAAGAGCGAGGCCAGCCGUCUGCCGUCGAGGGCACCUGGGGAGCACCAGUCUAGGCUGGGCUCCCCGCCCGGCUCCUCACUGGGCUCCUGCUGCGUGCUGGGACCGGGCAGAGAAGACAGAGGUGAACUCUGUCCUCGGAGGCUCUAGGCUAGCAGGGG
ensembl:lncRNA